AAACACUAGAGCGAUUAAUACCUCUCUGAAACCCUCCACUCAAACUCAACUACCACGAGAAGUGAUCGUACUAGGAUUUGCACUUAAAGGGCACAAUAGGGGUGAGUACGGUCCACUUACAUUCAAUAAGUAUUAUAGGUCGACUGAACAAAGCAGAAAAUAAGAUAAGUAAAAUAUACAAUAAGUACAUCACCUUGCAA
rnacentral:lncRNA from 1 species